CUGGAAAGAUGUACAGGAAGCAGUCAUCCCUGUGGUGUUUCUGGAGAGGUAUUCCUUCAGAAAUGGAGAAGACAGAAAGCUGCGGAGGCAGACAUUUGCAGCAGAUUGUUUGCAGAUAAUGCUGUUCUUCUUUUUCAGAAGUUUUUUGUGAGCCAACCCUCACAAACCUUCCUAAAAACUAAAAGAGCUAUUACUGAGUCUCAGCGAAUCUAGCCAUGAUCAGCUCUUCCCAGAAGAUAAGGAAGAACAAGGAAAUGAUUUGCUCAGGAUGAGGAAUGAAGACGGCCAUCUUGAGCCCAAACAAAGACAGAAGUCCACUGAUGAUCUCAUCAGCCAAAUG